CGGAGGAAAAGAAACCAACAGGGAUUGCCCUAGUAACGGCGAGUGAAGCGGCAACAGCUCAAAUUUGAAAUCUGGCGCAAGCCCGAGUUGUAAUUUGUAGAGGAUGCUUCUAGGUAGCGACCGGUCUAAGUUCCUUGGAACAGGACGUCAUAGAGGGUGAGAAUCCCGUAUGUGACCGGCCCGCACCUUCUACGUAGCUCCUUCGACGAGUCGAGUUGUUUGGGAAUGCAGCUCUAAAUGGGAGGUAAAUUUCUUCUAAAGCUAAAUACCGGCCAGAGACCGAUAGCGCACAAGUAGAGUGAUCGAAAGAUGAAAAGCACUUUGGAAAGAGAGUUAAAAAGCACGUGAAAUUGUUGAAAGGGAAGCGCUCACAACCAGACUUCUGGGCGGUGUUCCGCCGGUCUUCUGACCGGUCUACUCACCGUCCCGAGGCCAACAUCAUCUGGGACCGCUGGAUAAGACCUCAGGAAUGUAGCUCCCCCUCGGGGGAGUGUUAUAGCCUGUGGUGAUGCAGCGCGUCUCGGGUGAGGUCCGCGCUUCGGCAAGGAUGUUGGCGUAAUGGUUGUCAGCGGCCCGUCUUGAAACACGGACCAAGGAGUCUAACAUCUAUGCGAGUGUUCGGGUGUCAAACCCCUACGCGUAAUGAAAGUGAACGGAGGUGGGAAGCGUAAGCUGCACCAUCGACCGAUCCUGAUGUCCUCGGAUGGAUUUGAGUAAGAGCAUAGCUGUUGGGACCCGAAAGAUGGUGAACUAUGCCUGAAUAGGGUGAAGCCAGAGGAAACUCUGGUGGAGGCUCGCAGCGGUUCUGACGUGCA
rnacentral:rRNA from 1 species